AUGUCCAGCGACGACGAGCUCCGCGGCCUCCUAGUACAGGAAGCCACCACCGCGAUCGUCUCCGGCGCCGAUCCCUCCCGCCCCUCGGCCCGAUCGGCCCACUUCCUCCUCCCCCGCGCGGGGGGCGCUCGCCUCCCCGCUCUGCCGUCCCCGCCCCGCAAUGCCGGCCCUGUUCUUGGCGACGAGCUCCCUGUGGAUUGGACGGCCUGGCCCGGCUCCUCGAAGCUGUGGAGGCGGUGGGUGGCCAGGCUCCGGCCGCGGCAUGAGCGCCUGUGGCGGAAGCUUGGGAUCUUGGACGCCGUCCUCGCGACCACCGGCUGGGUGCGGCGGGACGAGGGCCUGCUGCUGCAGCUCGCGGCUUUCUGGUCCGGCGACACCAACACGUUCGUCUUCCCGUGGGGCGAGGCCACGGUGACGCUGGAGGACAUGGCCGUGCUCGGGGGCCUGCCCCUGCUGGGCCGGCCGGUGUGGUCCCGGCUCCCGGACGAGCUCCGCGGCGACGUGGACGCGCUCGAAGCCGCCCGGAUCGCGCCCAACAGAUGCACGAACAAGAAACCCUCGUUUGCCCAGUGGGUUAAGCGAUUCGUGGAGCCGCCGACGGGGGAGGUCGCUGCCGCCGGCAGAGGAGAGGCCGAGGCGGCCACAUUGCUCGAGCACGGGGCGUUUCUGGCCAUGUGGUUGACCAGAUACGUGCUUCCGGCGCCGCCAUUCGACGUGGUCAGACCGGACGUGUUCCCCCUCGCCGCCGGACUGGCGCGCGGCAGGUGCUCGGCCCUCGCACCCGCCGUUCUUGCCAACAUCUACAAUGACCUCUCCGCACUCAGUCACCACUUAAGCUUGGGCACCACCCAUCAGCCGUUCGUGGCGAGUGCGCCACUGCACAUCCUCCAGCUAUGGGUCUGGGAGCGCUUCCCAGAGCUUCGUCCUGAGACACCAAACACUGCCUCCCACGGCGACGAUCAGGGCAUGCCGAGGGCUGUCAAGUGGCACAACAUCAGAAACCCGCUUGAUCCUGGGUACAUCCACGCCGUGCUCAUGUCCCCGGAGGAGUUCGAAUGGAGGCCUUAUGGAGGCAGUAGCUUUGCUCUGCCACAAGGCAAAGAUGGCAAAGAUGGCUGCUGGGUGCACUGCCAUGUUGUAGCAACAAGCAAGGAGCUGCAAUCCUUUGCGCAGUGUCUGCUACCUUGUGAACUCGUCGGCAUGCAAUGCAUCGAGCACUACUGUCCGCACCGCGUCGCAAGGCAGCUGGGCUUCGAUCAAGACGUGCCCGGGACUAUCCCCCGUGCCAAUUCAUGUCGAAAGACCGCGUGGGCGACAUACAGGAUGCGGCCUGAAGACGUUUCCUUUUUCGUUCCGCAACGUGAUCCGGGCAUGACGGUUGAAUAUGCACAAUGGUGGAAGCCUUACUCGUCAGCAUGUGCUGCUGCUGUUGCUAAUGCUGCAAGGAUGAAACAACUUCAUGCCGCAGUUAUUAGCCCAAGAACCAUGAAAGAUGAAGGGCUCCCUGCCCCUGCUGGUGUAGGAGAUGCGCAGGACUGCACCGAGUCGUCCAAAGAUAUCAUCAUGGUGCACAACAAUUGUGGUUAUGAGCUUGCUAAUAAUGUCCAAAGUGAUACCACUCCCAGUCAAGGAUCCACAGUUAAUAAAGUAACUCAUGUCACUAGUGUUGAUGUCUUUGUCUUAGAAGGAUCCAUUGAUGAUGAGGUGCAGACACACAAUGUCACAGAAAAGGAAGUUCAGAGAGCGAAGGUGGAUACAGAAAGCUCAGGUGUUUUGGAAGGAAACAAUGAUGAUGCAUCUUGUGAUGGUCUAGUAUAUGGAAACAGUGAAAUGGUCAAGAGAGUAAUUUCUACCAAAACACUCUACUAUCUUAGACCAUUCGAGUGGGUGAAAGAUGCCCAGGUCAGAGAUUCAAGAGCCACCAAUGCAGGUCAAGUGAUUCUCCAACCAGGACGGGAAGUCGGGACACCGGAAAUGAUUAGAGAGGCGUCUGAAGCUCGAGAAGCAGAAAAGGUUGAGUUGGAAACAAUAAUCACUCGUCUCAAGGAACAAGUUGUCGCGCUAGAGAUGCAGUUGCGGGACAGGACAACCUCUAAAAUUUGA
rnacentral:rRNA from 1 species